AGGUGCUUUGCUGUACAGCAAUGGAUAACCAGAGCAGGACGGGGCUAGGAAAGUCUGCUGAAGAGGCGUGGAUGUAAAAGCGCAGCCAGUGGGAGCCAUGGAAGGUGUUUGAGCUAUAACAUGAUCAAAGGAGUGCUUUAGGAAGAUUAAUCGGAAGGCCUCCGCCAGGUACCAGCGGAGUAAGGAGAAAUGGACACCUGUUAAAGAGUGCGCAUCUCUGGAUAGAACAGCUACGUUCGCUAAACGGAGAGAGAGGGAAAAACACCCCCAGCGUUGCCGAAGCAGCCUUGCACAGGGCGGCUACCAUUCGUGAGAAUUCAGCCUGAAGCCUUUUCAAAGCUCCCAGGACGUGCGGGGCUGGGGCAGCCAGGGUGAACGGGUGGAAAGAGCCUGCUCAGAAUGUUUUGCGUUACAGCCAGAAGCUCAGCACAUCCAGCCAACUCAACAACGAUUUAGGCAAUUGCCUGGACGCCGGUGAGGCAGCAGCUCACAGCCCUUGUGAUUCCGGUCCCUUCCGGAGUCCGGUGGGGGCCGGAUGACAGUGGGCCCGCGGAAGGAUGCAAAACCAAAUGCAUUCGCCUUUCCGGGAAAAUCUUA